rnacentral:sRNA from 1 species
UCCAUUUCACAGCCAAAUCCAACACGA